GCCGGAGUGGCGGAAUGGCAGACGCGGUGGUCUCAAAAACCAUUGGUUAACACCGUGUGGGUUCGAAUCCCACCUCCGGCACCA
rnacentral:tRNA from 1 species